AGCGGGGUAGAGGAAUUGGUUGACUCAUCAGGCCCAUGACCUGAAGACAGCAGGUUCAAAUCCUAUCCCUGCCA
rfam:Cucumis melo, WGS project CAJI01000000 data, contig: 15980